CGGUUGUAGUCAAUCAUUGGAUAGCUCAAAAGAGUUCGGUAAACUUGGCCCUGGUCAAGUGGUCCUAGGCCUCAGGUCUUUCGGUACGUUUUAUAAAAGGUCUCCCUCUCAUCAUUCAUACAAAAGAAAAGAAGACACGAGUUGGUGAUCUAAUUUUAAAAAGAUGACUUAUUUUUGCUGGACAUUCCUCAAGGCCUUUUCUACCAACGACCUCAAUUGUGAGGGAUUUAGUUCGUGUAACUGCUCUGAUAUCAUCUAUGGCAUCCCAAAUGCUAAUUAAGGCAUAAAGGUGCUAGAUAUAGAAAUAGAUUACGAGUGCAUGAUAAAAUUGUAUACAGCGGAGUAAAUUAUUACAAA
rnacentral:lncRNA from 1 species